UGUGGUUAUCAUUCUCAGGAACAAGAAUGGUGAUUAAUGAAAGCAAUUAGUGACCCACCAAUAGAGGAACUCUUCCUGAUGGCAGGGCAGCCCUUCCUGGGCUGGACUUUAGAACAAGACCAGAGUUUGGGCUGAUGGGAACACAUGCAUACCAGCUGUUACUCUCACUGGGGCCACUUUAGCUUUCAGAAUGUGGGCAGCUGACUCCAUCCAUGACACCAGGAGACUUCUGUUGCUCUUUGGCUGAAUUUGAACUAUGGUCUUUAUGGAAUGUAUUUGUUUUUGCUGAAAUCUGGAAGCUAUGUAAGGUCAGUGUGAGUUGUUAACAUUAACUAAGCAUUCAGCAUAAUAUUAAACCUUGUAAUGG